UUAUUGUCGUGUCGCCUCUUCGUUGUAAUCGAAUAGUCGGUAAAUUUUAAUCGCCGCUCGUUGGAAAAAGAAAGAUUUUUUGUAUAGCUUUCAUUUGCCUGUAAAGGCUGGUUUCCAUAUGGUCGUAACGGUCGUAAAGAUUGAGUCACGAUCUUUCUCAUCAGCCGAAUACAACAUUUGAGAACUGAAAAUACGCGGAGUGAUUAUAACUAGAGAAUACUUGUUGAGGCUAGCUCAACACUUCCGGUCAGUGAUCGAAGUUUAUCGAGUUUCCGGUGAACAUCCGGGGUUUUUUGACGAACAUAAAACGUUUUGUUGUUUUGUUUCGAAGGAUUAUAUUUGGACUUUGAUAGUAAAAAACUAGCUUUAUUACGGGAUUAUCGACAUUCGGUAAGACGUUUAAAGUUUAGUUAUGUAUUUCUGUCCUUUAUGUGAGCAUUUGUUAUGUAAGAACUGUAAAUUGUUUGUAACUUACGUAUAUAUUUAGUGUAUUUUAUGUAUUUUCAUAUUUUGUUAGAAUGAAACAAGUCAGACAGAAACGUCAAUUGUCACAUUCGGGUCGAUAUUAAAUAACAAGCAAAGAAAUCGUAUAAUAAUAAGAAGCUUUAAUCGAACUCGCGAAAUUUACAAUGCUAAAUGAGAACGAAACAAAAGACAUUACAACAAAGGCGAGUUAGAUAUGGGAUCGGCGAACGGACUCGAAGUCCCAACAAGGCAAACCCCGCACAUAAAUUAUAACUAGAAAUUUACACUAUUAAGAAAACACAAAACUUCAAUAAAAGUUCUCUAAUACCACUGAACAGACAGCCCAGUCUCUCGCUCAGGUUGACUGCACAUACCAACGGCCACUUGAAACAAAUAAUUGAUGGAAAUUAUUUCGGAAAAUAAUCUUAACCCAUGCGCUAUAGUACUAACCCUAAUUCUGGUUCUAAGAUAAGGAUGCAUAUUGUACAGUCAAUCUGAGG